rnacentral:rRNA from 1 species
UACGAAGGGUGCAAGCGUUACUCGGAAUUACUGGGCGUAAAGGGUGCGUAGGUGGUUCUUUAAGUCUGCUGUGAAAGCCCCGGGCUCAACCUGGGAAUGGCAGUGGAUACUGGAGAGCUAGAGUGCGGUAGAGGGUAGUGGAAUUCCCGGUGUAGCAGUGAAAUGCGUAGAGAUCGGGAGGAACACCAGUGGCGAAGGCGGCUACCUGGACCAGCACUGACACUGAAGCACGAAAGCGUGGGGAGCGAACGGG